rnacentral:pre_miRNA from 1 species
GUGAAUGGUGUUCAGCACCAAGGACAGGUCUGUAUGUUUGUGUGUGGAAGGUGUUCAGCACCAAGGACAGGUCUGUAUAUUU